rnacentral:rRNA from 1 species
UACGGGGGGGGCAAGCGUUGUUCGGAAUUACUGGGCGUAAAGGGUUCGUAGGUGGCUCGCUAAGUCAGACGUGAAAUCCCUCAGCUUAACUGGGGAACUGCGUCUGAGACUGGCAAGCUCGAGUGCAGGAGAGGAACGCGGAAUUCCAGGUGUAGCGGUGAAAUGCGUAGAUAUCAGGAGGAACACCGGUGGCGAAGGCGGCUCUCUGGACGGUGACUGACGCUGAGACGCGAAAGCGUGGGGAGCAAACAGG